UGUGGGGUGGUGUAGGGAGAAGUAAGGAAACGCCGUCUUUCCUCAGUACAAAGCCUGGCCCCCUCAGAUUCUGCUGCCCUGAGUUCCUGGAAUUUAAUCUCUCUCUCCAUCAAUUCCAGUCGGGUUGACCAGUUAAAGUAUGAUGUCCAGCACCUGCAGACUGCGCUCAGAAACUUCCAGCAUCGGCGCCAUGCAAGGGAGCAGCAGGAGAGACAGCGAGAAGAGCUUCUGUCUCGAACCUUCACCACUAACGACUCUGACACCACCAUACCAAUGGACGAAUCACUGCAGUUUAACUCCUCCCUCCAGAAAGUUCACAACGGCAUGGAUGACCUCAUUUUAGAUGGGCACAAUAUUUUAGAUGGACUGAGGACCCAGAGACUGACCUUGAAGGUGGGGUCCCUGCUGGGGGACAGAGAGAAGGCCUCUUGUUUUAGCCUCAUCCAACAGUUUAGUAACUGUGUUUAUAUUUUGAUUACGUGUCCUCAAAUUGUGAUAUUUUGAUGACAAGACAGAGCCCUUGAGUUUGGGAUCCUUUCUGUUGGAGUUGAGUUAUUGUGAGCCUGAAAGUACCCAGUUCCUUUGCCAGUGCUUGAAACAAACCAUGAAGUGGCCUCUCUUAGGAUCCAGGUCUUUUCCCAUUUACUGAACUUAUCAUGAAAGUGAGUGCUACUACGAGGGGUCCAAUCACAGGCUGAGAAAUUGUGUUACAGAAUCUACUCUUGGAAGAAUGAAGACGUGGCUGUCCUUUGGUACCU
rnacentral:lncRNA from 1 species